CCUUGUGGAGUGUGGGAGUCAAGAGACGUUUUCUGAGAGGACACGAUACUUGAACUGAGACAGAUCAGAAGGAGUUAGGCAGACAAAGUGAGGCAGGGCAAAGGCUGGGACAAGGAGAAGAAACUAGUAGACGGGGCAGCAAACGCCAAGGCCCUGAGAUGACAGCGAACACAGUGGACUCAUUCAGUUACCGAAAAGGAGAAAGUCUGAGAAACUGUCACAGACAAGAGGAGCCUAAGGAAGCAUGACAAUUAAAUGUAAUGUGGUGUUCUGGAUGGGAUCCUGGAACAGAAAAAGGACAUUAAGUAAAAAAAGCCAGUUACUGGGGGCUUCCCUGGUGGCACAGUGGUUGAGAAUCUGCCUGCCAAUGCAGGCGACACGGGUUCGAGCCCUGGUCUGGGAAGAUCCCACAUGCCGCGGAGCAACUGGGCCCGUGAGCCACAA